UCGACACCUAAGAUAAGUAUUUUCUGCUCUGCGUAUACCGUCUGUUCGGAAAAAAAACGUCCAGGUUCAUAGGUGCCUUAGUUUUUCAAUGUUUUCUCGACGUUUCAUUGUGCCUUGAGUAUGAACAAGUACCCGUUUCUGCCUAUCUGUCGUUUGUUCAUGAUUUUAUUAAAACAAGUAAUUUUAGGAACAUCGUGUAGAUAGUAAAUGCUAAAUAAAAGUUGUCUGAUCGCCCCCA